rnacentral:lncRNA from 1 species
CCCGCUCCGCCCGCACCGGCGGCUCCGGGACCUCCCGGGUCCCCGGGCUCGGCCGGCAACGCCGCCGCUGCGGCGGGAGGAGCCCCCGCGGACCCCCGGGCCACUCCCCGGCCGGCGAUGGGCGCAGCGGGGAUACAGGGAGGGGACAGCGGGACACGGUGAUGCGACAGCGGGGACACGGUGGGGACACGGCAGGGACACAGGACAAGACCCGCCGGUGAGCGGGCGGGACCCGCUGUCCCCCGUUCGAGGGGUCCGGUGUCAGGGAGAGCGGAACGGGACCGGUUAGCGGGGCGGGGCGGGCAGGGCACGGCCGGGGGUCCCGGGCAGGGGCGGGCAGGAGGAGGGCGGGGGUCCGGGGCAGGAAGCGGGCGGGGGUCGGGGAGGGGCCGGGACCGGGCCCAGGAGCGGGCAGGGAGCGGCAGGAGCGGGCAGGGACCGGCAGGGCCGCGGCCAUGCGGGGAUCGCCCCUCGCCCCGCUGCUGCUGCUGCUGCUGCUGCUCCUGCUGGGACCCCCGGCGCCCCCCGCCCGCGCCGCGCCCCCACAGCCCGGCCGGCCCCGCGGCACCGGGGCGGGCACGGCCAGCGGGACCCCCAGAGCCGCCGGGGCGACCCCAACCAAGGGCACCGCCAGCGGGACCCCCAAAGCCACCGGGGCGACCCCAACCAAGGGCACGGCCAGCGGGACCCCCAGAGCCACCGGGGCGACCCCAACCAAGGGCACCGCCAGCGGGACCCCCAGAGCCACCGGGGUCACCCCAACCAAGGGCACCGCCAGCGGGGUGUCCCCCAGAAAGAGCCCCACGACCGGACCCCCCAAAGCCAGCGGGGUCACCCCAACGAAGGGCACCGCCAGGGGACCCUCUAAAAGCAGCGAGACGCCCCCCUGGAAGGGCACCACGGCGGGACCCCCCAAAGCCAGCGGGGUGUCCCCAACGAAGGGCACCGCGGCCGCCCCCUCGGGGAGCAGCACCACGACGGGACCCCCGAAGGGCAGCGCGGCCCCCGCCAGCCCCGGGGACCCCGCGGGCACCGGUAGGACCGGAGGGGACGGGGUGUGCAAAGGGGGUUCAUGGGGGAAAACGGGGUGCCAGGCUGUUCCCGUGUCCCCUCGCAGCCCCGGCGCCCACGGUGAGCACGGUGGCGGUGAGGAGGAGGAAGGUGGUGAGGAAGAAGGUGGUGAAGAAGAAGGUGCUGAGGAAGAAGCCGGAGGCUCCGGCCGCGCCGCAGGAGCCCCCGUGUCCCCCCCUGGGGCUGGAGUCCCUGCGGGUGCUGGACGAGCAGCUCCGGGCAUCGAGCCACAAGCGGCACGGGCUGGGCGCGCACCGCGGCCGCCUCAACAUCCAGGUACUGCCCGCUGGGCCACGAACGUGCCAGGGGGUGCCAGGAGUGUGCCAGGAGUGUGCCAGGGUGUGCCAGGAGUGUGCCAGGGUGGGUUAGGUUGUGCCAGGGUGGGUCAGGGUGUGCCAGGAGUGGGUCAGGAGUGGGUGAGAAGUGUGCCAGGUGUACCAAGAGUGGGUCAGGAGUGUGUCAGGAUGGGUCAGGAUGUGCCAGGAUGGGUUAUGGGUGUGCCAGGGUGUGCCAGGAGUGGGCCAGAGUGUGCUGGGAGUGUGCCAGGAAUGUGCCAGGCUGUGCCAGGCUGUGGGGAUGUUCGGAUGUCACACGGGGCAUGCAGGC